CAAGGAAUAGCGUUUCGUGUAGAUGAUCGGGAUGAAAAUAAAAAUUUUAGACAGUUGGUCUACUUUAUGUCGAGACAUAGUUUGGUACUUAAGCGGUGGUUAAGCAACACGAAACUUAGAAAAUAUCACGUGACAUAUAUAAGUGCUAAAUCCCAAAAUAAUUUCAUUCAUUUGCUUGGACAAGAUGUUCAAAGCAAAGUUGUUUUCGAAGUUAAUCAAGCAUCAAUGUUUUCAAUUAUGGCAGAUAAAACUCCUGAUGCGUCACACAGUGAUAAGUUAGCAAUUGCUGUUAGGUACGUUAGGUACGUGGAUAAUAACUGUAGUAUUAAAGAAAGAAUUUUGCAGGUAUGCGAGUGACAACUGACAAAACAGGUAAUGGAAUUGCAAACUUAAUAAUAUCGAUAAUCAAAAACAUUCAACUUGAUGUCAAUAGUGUUAUGUUUCAUGGAUACGAUUACGCCAGCUCUAUGUCUAGAAACUUUAAAAGAGUUCAUGCAAAAAUUUCAGAAAAGCUCAAACAACUUAUACCUUAUAUUCCAUGCCAAGCUCAUCAAACUGACACUUUUGUUGAGCAUGCGGUUAAAAGAAAUAAUAUGGCUGCAAAUGUUUUCGAUGUUCUUGAAAUAUGCUACAUAUUUUUUUCUUCAAGAACAAAACGAUUCAACUUACUUAAUUCUAAACUUGGGUUCAUUGAAAAUUGGCUACAAUACAAUCUCUUGAACGAAUUAGAAAAGAUGAAUUUGAUGUGCAUCGCAAAAUUGAUGCCGCAAUUAAAAUAUAUGUAGUAAGCAUGAAAUCGAUGCAUUCAAAGUAUAUGAAGAUCAUCAUAGACGACGAUCAAUUCCAAAACGCAAUGAUGACAAUCCUGAGACUCCAUGUUCUAUAAAUAUUUAUCAGUACUACACCCAAUAACUUAAUUGCGUAUUAGACUGUCUUAUUAACGAAAUGAAAGAAAAUUUACUUACUUCAUGGUUAAGCAGUGAAUCAUUUUCUCUUCUCCAGUAGUCAACAAAAACCUUCACGAUAAAAGACGUUAAAAAACUGUGCCUUUUAAUGCUAAUAAAUGGGGAAAAAAUAGAUGCUCAUUUAUUUCAUGCAGAAUUAGAAAUUUUUAUGAACACAUUUACUGAAUCUGAUGCUCCAACAAACAAUGAAAAAUUAAAACUAUCGUGGCAAAAACAAAAAUUUUUCCAAGAAUUUUCAAAGCUUUCCAGCUAAUGGCUUCAGCACCAGUGUCUGUUGAAAGCGAUGAAAAAACAUUUAGCAAAUUAAAAAUUGUUAACUUUUAACUAUGUCAGAUGCUAGAUUAGAUUCAUUAAUUUUGUUGGCGUCAGAAAAAGAUUUAGUUGACAUGUUGGUAAAAAAGUGAUCUUUAACAACACAAAGACGUGUUAAAAUUGAGUAACUGAUUAUAUUUUUCAAUAAGUUUAGCUGUACUGACGAAUUCGCCCCAUGACUUGAUGAUGAAAAAAUCAAGUUCUACGCUAAAGUAAUUUUAGAAUUUAUUUUGAUUCAAUACAUUAACAGAGUAGAGACCCUAAUUGAUAAAAAAAAGUUAAACUAGAAAAAAUAACUUAUUUAUAUGUGAAUUCAUUUUGUUGAAGUAAAACAUGACGAACUCGCCAUAUCUGGAUUUCUGAAAUGUGAUUUGGAGCAUUGGAUGCAUUUGUUGCAUUUGUUUGUCUUUCAACUAUUGUCUUGAAAGAAAAACAUGGUUAAAACAAGAGGUUGGGGAUGUAGAUCAUCACCAAGAUUUCACCGGAUGUUGGUUGGAAAGAUUGUUUCUGUAACAGAGGCUACAAUACUUUAUAAUACAACUCAUCUUCAUAAUGGUAUAACUCCUUCAACAUCUGGUAGUAGUACUCUUGACAUUUGUCAAAUGAAACAGCUACCAACAAUUGAUGUUUCUUUAUUUUGUAUCGAUGGUUCCAAUUAUUUCAUUGAUCAAUCAGUCACUGUUAAGAAACGGGGCAAAUUCCUGAAAUGGAGUGAAGAAAAUUUGAUGAGUGCAAUUGCAUGUCAGAUCAGAGCCAUUGCUUCAGCUUGGGAAAAAGCAAUGACCUCUAGCAACAUUACAUCUGGGUUCAAGUCAUCCAUUUAAUCCUCAGGCUAUUCCUAGUGAUGCAUAUUUACCAAACUAUCCGCACAUAGCAGAGGAUAUAUCAGUUAAUAUAACUGAAAAAAAUUGCUCUUUGGAAUUCCAACCAUCAAUAGUUCAAGAAAUUAAAUUUUCUGACGUUGAUGCUUCUAUAGAAAAAAGUUGCUAAUUAUCUAGAACAAUUACAAAAUGGCACUGAAGAAGAAAACGCAACUCACAGUUCGUUACAAAGUAACAUUUCUAUUUUGGAAGCAGAGACUGUUGUUCGUAUUAAUCAGCUUGCAUAUUUAGUCAAUCCAGUUGAAGAAAAAAAUGUUGACUGCAUUGUGAACCAUCUUAGAACCAUCAAACUUUAAUUCUACUAAAGUUUAAUAUUUUCCGUUGGCAAACUCUUCAUGGCAAGUCAAUCAUUUUACAUUUAUUUUUAAUUUCAUUUGAACAAUGCAACUUUUAAUAAAUUUUUAGUUUUAAAAUAAUUCAAGUUUUUUAAAAUUAUUUAAAUACUUGUUCUUUUAUUGAAUAUAUAUGAAUAUGAUGUCUUGGCAUACCCUAAAGCCACCGCACAGAAAAAGAUAGCAAACAGCUUAAAUACUUCGUUUUAACUUCUCAAGAAGCAUAUUCAGCAAAGCUGAAAUAUCACCAAGACAAAAUCCAACAGGAAAGAGAAAAAUACGAAAGAAAACAACUGCAAUUUGUUAAUCCUGCUAAGCGACUCAAAGAUAAAGAAGAAAAAAAGGUAUUGGCUAAAAAAAAAAAAUUAGAAAAUCAGGCCAACAAGUCUAUGGCAACAACAAAAAAGAAGUUUAUCAUCUGAAUUGCAACCAUUGGUUGAUCCCGAGAACAAUACUGACUAAUAUAAUACUCUAAUGGUCUUAUUUGUGAUACGACGUAAUAGUAAAAAGCACCGCCACAAGAGCCCAUUUAAUGAGUUGGCUCCCCAUUUUGAACUUUACCAAUAAUCUAUCAGUAUUUCGAGCAGGAUUCGAACUCGCAACUCUUAUACAAUGAGUACCAUGCUCUAAUCACGGCUGCUCAAUAUAAAAAUUCAUGACCGGGGCAAAAAGAAGACAAUAUUUGUCAUAUCACUACGGCUCGUAAGCAUUGAUGUGUUGUUGUUAUACUUUAUUUACACAUUUUACAAUUACAGUUGAGAUUGAUCUCAGAAUACAGAUUCAAGUAAGGAUCUAGGGAGAAAAUUUGCAUUCACAAAGACCCCAUGGUUUUAUACUUUUCUAAUUAAAAUGGUGCAAUUGAGCAUAGAAAUUAACUAAUGAGAUUUAAUCUCACUCACCAGUAUACAACGUCGUCUUAGACAAGUAUAUGUUCUUUUUUAAUUUACACAGUGGGCGACUUUAAAUCAAUAUGACGAGAUUGAGUUCAAGUGGACGAGAAUCAGUGCUUUUGACACACUAUACAAUUUAUAAUGGUACUGCCAACUACUCUCAUAAAAUCUAAAUAAUUUUUCAUGUUUUGUAGCUGAAGGAAUAAGUUAUCUAAUAAUGUAUAGUUCAGCUGUGCAAGUCUCAUUAUAGCGUGUUAACAUCAAUUUCAGUGCGGAUGUGAGCGAGGUUCGAUUAAGUUACCCAGAAAUAAAUCAGAAAAUUUAAGGCAUAGUAAAGAUACAAUCAACAAAUUUCAACUUUCAACCUAACAAGAAAAACUUGAAAUUUUCGGAAAUCGUUUUUUAUUUGAUUUUAAUUAAAAAAAUUUCGUAAUUUCAUCCCUGUGAAAAAGCAUUGAAAUGUAUUUGGAUUUUUAUAUGUAAUAACUACAUUAAAAAAUAUAACGGUGUAGGUUGAU